CCUUCCUAUGUUCUUGAGUGAGGAUAACAUGGCCCCUGUGAUGCAGGUUGUGGUGACUGAGGGGAAGAGUCAACUCCCUAAGCCAGAGCAAGUCCUCAGAUGCCAAAGUGAGGACAAACCAUUGACACAGAGCACCUUCAAUUACCAGGUUGUGAGAUGUAAUGAAAGGAGCCCAAGUUUUUGAAUCAAAUGAACCUGGCUUCUAUAAUCCUGGAUGUUUCUUGCUGGCUUUGGAUUUUAGGCAAGUCAUUCAAGUUCUCUGAUCCUUCAUCUGAAUGUCUUCAUCUUUAAAAUGAAGAAUUUGUCACCAUGAUCUGAAUGGGCUCCCAAAGUGACCUCAGCUGAUUAUAGGAGUCUUGGAUUUAUUUACAAGAAGGGAAGAUGUAGAUUCCCUCAUGGCAAAAUCCUGAACUGUGGUGAUGCCUCCUCUUCAAAAUCAGCAGGCUAAGUGUUUAUUUCAGAAUCUCCUGGCACUGGAGACAGCUGGGAAAAUGAAGAAAGAAUACUCAAUUUAACAUGUUCUGGACUUACAUAUAAAUAGUUUCAUGAAAAGACAUUUCUCAAAGUCUGAAUUUUUGCUGUGAGUUCCAAAAAUUGCUGGCAAAGAUUGGUUCACUAUAAGUGGGACAAAGGAAAAUCAGUAAAAACCUAUAAUGUCAUAUUUUGGAAGUGAUCUUUAACAGAUAGUGUCUAAAUUUAUAGAGGAUGUGUUGGCAGCUAGGAGAUUGGCAUUGAUUAGAAAAUCUGGGAGAAUGCAAGUUUUAGACAGAUAGCUGCUGCGAUGUUUCUCUCUCAUUUUGCUGAUCUGAGAUAUGGUAGCAGAGAGGCCUAGUCUUCUGCUUGCACUUCUGAAUAACAAUCUUUCUGGGAGCACUGGGAAUUAAGAGAGAGAGAGAGAGAGAGAGAGAUGCUCCGAUGUAUUCUAAGAUCAAAUAAUGAAGGAAAAAGGCCCAUGUCUGGAAAACAGAUUGAGGUGGUCAGGAUGGCUGACGCUGCUUCCCCCCACCCCCAAGCGUGUGCUAGCUGAAGCAUGAAGCAAGGUGGAAUCCGAAGGAGAGCAUGUGAAGCCAAUACUAGGCUGGUUGAGAUGUGAAGCCAGAUGGCGAUGUCCUCCUCCACCUCAGCCCAUCCCACCCCAUUACCAUUUGCAAGGACUUCUGGGAAGUUUCCCACUGGCUUCUCUGAGUGGAUUUAGCAUUGGCUCCACCUGUGUGAGUCCUCCCCUUCAGUCUGCCUCAGCCUUCACUCCUAUUGCUGAAGGUGUCCUGGCCUCUGAGGUGUAUGGUCAGGACUGCCUUGGAACCAGGAUUUUAAUAACAAGAUCAAAGGCACAAGGACAUUCUUCUAGGAAACUUCUCCCAGGAGGUGGAAUCUAUGUAGAAUAAUUAUGGUAUGGUGCUUCACAGCUUACAAGCUGUUUCCACAUCCAAGAGGGCAGUGACUGUCCUAGUGGACAUGACUCUCUA